CGUACCUUUUGUAUAAUGGGUCAGCGACUUAUAUUCUGUAGCAAGGUUAACCGUAUAGGGGAGCCGGAGGGAAACCGAGUCUUAACCGGGCGUUAAGUUGCAGGGUAUAGACCCGAAACCCGGUGAUCUAGCCAUGGGCAGGUUGAAGGUUGGGUAACACUAACUGGAGGACCGAACCGACUAAUGUUGAAAAAUUAGCGGAUGACCUGUGGCUGGGGGUGAAAGGCCAAUCAAACCGGGAGAUAGCUGGUUCUCCCCGAAAGCUAUUUAGGUAGCGCCUCGUGAAUUCAUCUCCGGGGGUAGAGCACUGUUUCGGCUAGGGGGCCAUCCCGGCUUACCAACCCGAUGCAAACUGCGAAUACCGGAGAAUGUUAUCACGGGAGACACACGGCGGGUGCUAACGUCCGUCGUGAAGAGGGAAACAACCCAGACCGCCAGCUAAGGUCCCAAAGUCAUGGUUAAGUGGGAAACGAUGUGGGAAGGCCCAGACAGCCAGGAUGUUGGCUUAGAAGCAGCCAUCAUUUAAAGAAAGCGUAAUAGCUCACUGGUCGAGUCGGCCUGCGCGGAAGAUGUAACGGGGCUAAACCAUGCACCGAAGCUGCGGCAGCGACGCUGAUGCGUUGUUGGGUAGGGGAGCGUUCUGUAAGCCUGCGAAGGUGGCCUGUGAGGGUUGCUGGAGGUAUCAGAAGUGCGAAUGCUGACAUAAGUAACGAUAAAGCGGGUGAAAAGCCCGCUCGCCGGAAGACCAAGGGUUCCUGUCCAACGUUAAUCGGGGCAGGGUGAGUCGACCCCUAAGGCGAGGCCGAAAGGCGUAGUCGAUGGGAAACGGGUUAAUAUUCCCGUACUUGGUGUUACUGCGAAGGGGGGACGGAGAAGGCUAUGUUGGCCGGGCGACGGUU
rnacentral:rRNA from 1 species